rnacentral:tmRNA from 1 species
CGACGGUUUGGCUAUGGCUGCGUAAAUCUGCGUAGCCCGUCCCCGAGAGAUCCCGGCCCGAGGAUCUCCCGACGGACGUCGAUGAAUCGGGCUGGUCGCCCCGGCGCGCCGUGAGCCGCGGGUGACGAGAACACGGCGAGAGCCGCGUACACGGCUGGUUUCGUAAGGGGUUGUUCGUGAACCCUCGCGGGACGAGACUUGAUCGCGAACUACGCACGUAGAUGCCGUGGCGGAUGGGCUCGCGGACGCGGGUUCGAUUCCCGCCGCCUCCACUC